rnacentral:rRNA from 1 species
UACGGAGGGGGCUAGCGUUGUUCGGAAUUACUGGGCGUAAAGCGCACGUAGGCGGCUUUGUAAGUUAGAGGUGAAAGCCCAGGGCUUAACCCUGGAAUUGCCUUUAAGACUGCAUCGCUAGAAUCGUGGAGAGGUGAGUGGAAUUCCGAGUGUAGAGGUGAAAUGCGUAGAUAUCAGGAGGAACACCUGUGGCGAAAGCGGCUCACUGGACCACAACUGACGCUGAGGCGCGAAAGCUAGGGGAGCAAACAGG